UGCGUCCGUAGGGAAUCAGUUCGAGCAGCUUUUCAGCGGCCGCGCCUUCGGUGGCGUCUUUAUUGAUCGCCGUGCGAAUCGCCCCGGGCGCGA
rnacentral:tRNA from 1 species